GAUGAACGCUAGCUACAGGCUUAACACAUGCAAGUCGCAGGGUAACAUGAGGAAAGCUUGCUUUCCUUGAUGCCGACUGGCGCACGGGUGAGUAACGCGUAUCCAACCUUCCCAUAACUACGGGAUAACCCGUUGAAAGACGGCCUAAUACCGUAUGAUAUCGUUUGCUGACAUCAAAUAACGAUUAAAGGUUUAGCGGUUAUGGAUGGGGAUGCGUCUGAUUAGCUUGUUGGCGGGGUAACGGCCCACCAAGGCGACGAUCAGUAGGGGUUCUGAGAGGAAGGUCCCCCACAUUGGAACUGAGACACGGUCCAAACUCCUUCGGGAGGCAGCAGUGAGGAAUAUUGGUCAAUGGGCGAGAGCCUGAACCAGCCAAGUAGCGUGCAGGAUGACGGCCCUAUGGGUUGUAAACUGCUUUUAUGUGGGGAUAAAGUGCGUGACGUGUCAUGCAUUGCAGGUACCACAUGAAUAAGGACCGGCUAAUUCCGUG
rnacentral:rRNA from 1 species